GUUUCUCUGGAAAACCUUGACUAAUGUAGACUCUAUUACUGAAGGUGGUUCUAGAGGAACAGAAUUUUAAGAAUAAGUUUUGUAUAUUGGUUCUGGGAUUUUGGGAACUGACUUUCUAAUCUGAUUGGGUUUGAAGAUGUGAAGACUAUUUUCAGUAGUAAAGAGAGCAUCGAUGUUCCAUGGCAUCAACUGCUGAGAGAUACACAAACUAACUACAUACAGUAUUCUUAGUCAACCACUUAUAAGAAGCAAAGAGCUGGGUGACUGUGUGUUUAAUACUUUCCAGAAUUUUUGGAAAACUAACAAAUACAAUGAGGUUGUCUGAUUGCUACUAAUGUGACUGAAAAAGCAGGGAAACAAAAGGAUUAUCACAGAGAUUCAAACUUCUAGCUCAAGUACCACAUAAAUGACCUGAAAGCUUCCAGGUGUCCACUGAAGGAGACCCUUAUCUACUGUAGCUAUAAGAUUGAAAUUGCUGAAAAUCAAAUGAAGAAUCUCAUCCUGUAACUGGCUGAACUACAAUGGAAACUGAACUCCAUUUUUUCCCUAAUUGGGAAAAAAUAGGAUCCUGUAAAUUGGGAUGGUAACAUGUGGGAAAACACUGAUGAAGCUGAGAACAUCAAGCCCCUAAAUCCUGAGUCUUCUUUGCCAGUGAGAAAUGUGUCCCCUACCUGCAGGAAGAAUGACCUCCCAUUCCUAGCAGAAAUGUCCUCCCAACUCCCAGCAGUAUCAGCCUUUCCAUCCUUUCCUUGUCUGAGGAAAUGAAUCCUGCAUUGCCUGAGGAAUCCAUAAUGACCUUCUCUGAGGCAGUUGCCAUGCAAGACAUUGCUGACUUUCUUCAAGCCAAACCCCCACCAGCCCUCUUUCUUCUAGACCUGUAACUACUCACAAAUCUCAGCAGAUCUCCAAAGAAGUCUUACUUCUAAAGGGAGAAAUGUUUUCACCAGGGGACAAAACAACGAUUCCACUGAAAUGCAAGUUAAGACUUAUGCCCAGUCACUGGGCUCUUCAUGCCUGUUAAACAAAAGGCAAAGAAGAGAGUUACUGUGCUGGCUGGGGUGAUUGACUCUGACUACCAAUGCACAAUUGGACUACUACUCUGCAAUGCAGGCAAGAAAGAACGUGGCUGGAACACAGAAAAUCUUUUACAGUGUCUUUAAUGUUACCAUAUCCAGUGAUUAAGGUCAGUGGAAAACUACAACAACCCAGUUCAGAAAGUUUGGGUAACCCCACCAAGUAAACCAGCUGAGGUGCUUGCUGAAGGUAAAAGGAAUACAGAAUGGGUGAUGGAAGAUGGUAGUCAUAAAUACCAGCUAUGGCUAUGUGGUCAAUUUCAGAAUUGUAAUUGCCAUGAGUAUUUGCUCCUUAUUUUGUUAUGUAUACAUUGUAUGUAUGUAUAUAAAAAUCUUUGUUUUCUUUUCUCUCAUUUCUUUAUCAUGCAACAUGAUAUAUUUUGACUUUAUGUUGUAGUAUUUAAGCACUAUUAAUUUUGUAUCAGAAUUUUUAAGUUAUAGGAUAUUAAAGAGAAGAGUAAUCAUCACUCAAGGAAUUUAUCGUCUCUUCUGGUUUAGUACACUUUUGGACAAAAACGCGAUAGUUGUACUACAUUAGGCAGAAUUUUGACCUCAUUCUUGUCUUUACUUGGAGAUUAUGGUUUAAGGAGCUGCUUUUGAAGUGCCAAGAGUGCCAAGUUGACAAGGAAUGGAUUUGUGAUGGUUAAUUUUAUGCAUCAAGUUGACUAGGGCAGACAUCUAGUUAAACAAUAUUUCUGAGUGUGUCUCUGAGAGUGUUUCUGGAAGAAAUUAGAAUUUGAAUCAAUGGACUGAGUAAAGCAGAUUGCCUUUCUUAAUGUGGGUGGGCAAGAUCCAAUCUGAGUGCCUGAAUGGAACAAAAAAGUAGAGGAGGAAAGAUUCCACUCUCUCUGCCUGGCUGUUUGAUCUGGCAUGUCAGUCUUCUUUUCUUGGACUGAGACUUACAUAAGUACUACUUCCUCUCAGGCCUUUGGAUUUGAAUGGGAAUUUACACCAUCAGUUCUGAUUCUCAGACCUUCAAAUUCAGACUGAAAUUAUACCACUUGUUGUCCCGGGUCCCUAGCUUGUGGAUAGCAAAUUAUGAUUAUGGUACUUCUCAGCCUCCAUAAUCACAUGAGCCAAU
rnacentral:lncRNA from 1 species